rnacentral:rRNA from 1 species
AUGGCGAUGCGGCUCUUCUCGUCCUCGCCGCCUCCCCCGCCCCUCCCGGGCCCUGCCACCACCAAGGCCUCAUCCGCCGCCGCGCUCUUCUUCCUCCGCCUACGCCGCGGGAGGCCCGCUGCCGCGGCAGGGGGAGGGCCCGAGCGGGACGGGGAGGGCCCCUUCGACAGGAGAAUGGAGGAGAUUGCGAAGAAGGUCCCGCUCUUCGAGCCCGCCAUGGGCGAGCCCGCCGCCACGGCUGAGCGCCCGCUGCCCAUCAACCUCGAGCUCUGGCUCCACCGCGCCAAGGUGCACACCAGGAAGUACGAGUUCGCGGAAGCCGAGAAGCUCCUCAACAAGUGCAUGUUGUAUUGGCCUGAAGACGGGCGCCCAUACGUCGCGCUUGGGAAGCUAUAUAGCAAACAGUCGAGGUUUGACAAAGCUAGAGCGGCUUAUGAAAGGGGCUGCCAAGCCACACAGGGAGAAAAUCCAUACAUUUGGCAGUGCUGGGCAGUGCUAGAAAGCAAGGGUGGGAGUAUUCGAAGAGCACGAGAGCUAUUUGAUGCUGCUACUGUGGCUGAUGCAAAGCACAUUGCAGCUUGGCAUGGGUGGGCAAUUUUAGAAAUCAAACAAGGAAACAUAAAAAAGGCUCGGAACCUACUUGCAAAAGGUCUGAAAUAUUGUGGAGGAAAUGAGUACAUUUACCAGACUCUUGCUUUGCUUGAAGCUAGAGCAGAGCGCUUUGAACAAGCACGGACUUUAUUCCAGCUAGCUACUCAAUGCAAUCCAAAAAGUUGUGCAAGUUGGCUAGUAGAAAUGCGUGCAGAAAACAAUGUCAUUGCGAGGAAGCUCUUUGAGAAAGCUGUCCAGGCUAGUCCCAAGAACAGAUUUUCGUGGCAUGUUUGGGCACUCUUUGAGGCCAAUCAAGGUAACACUGACAAAGCAAGGAAGUUACUUAAGAUUGGCCAUGCUGUGAACCCUAGGGACCCUGUAAUUCUACAGUCACUUGCACUGCUGGAAUACAAUUGUGCAUCUCCAAAUGUUGCCCGUGUAUUAUUUAGAAAGGCAUCUCAGAUUGAUCCAAGGCACCAACCAGUUUGGAUAGCUUGGGGUUGGAUGGAGUGGAAAGAAGGAAAUGAGAGAACUGCAAGGUCACUCUAUCAAAGAGCCUUGUCAGUUAAUUCAACAAAUGAAUGUGCUGCUCGUUGUCUUCAGGCUUGGGGAGUCCUAGAACAGCGUGUGGGUAACUACACUGCUGCCAGAAGAUUGUUGAGGUCUUCGCUGAACAUCAAUUCUCAGAGUGAGGUGACAUGGCUGACAUGGGCGGCACUAGAGGAGGAACAGGGGGAUCCAGUUCGAGCUGAAGAAAUACGGGACCUUUAUUUUCAGCAGCGUAUCGAGGUCAUGGAUGAUGCCUCCUGGGUCAUGGGCUUCCUCGACAUCAUCGAUCCUGCUCUAGACAGCGUGAAGAAGCUCCUAAACAUGGACCGACCGUCCGGUCAAGUGAUGCAGCAAGGUAGGAACAGGGGGAUCACAGCUGAAGGUUCAAGUACUUCUGACCUCGACAGCGGCACGGCUGAAGGUUCAAGCACUCCCAACCUCGACAGCAUCGUGGACCGCCGUGCUGCAUACACUCGGGAGGCAGAGAGUGAUUUUGACGUGGACGGCUUCAUCAGGAGGAGGCUGGCCCUGGACCCGGCGGAGCUAGACGCUGGGCUAGAGGGCUCUGAUCCCAAGGGAGUUAUUUCUCAAAGGAGGACGCGGCGGCUGACCAGGAAGCCUCUCCCUCUUCUUCCCGUCCCGUAG